CCUACGGGGGGCAGCAGUAGGGAAUCUUCCACAAUGGACGAAAGUCUGAUGGAGCAACGCCGCGUGAGUGAAGAAGGUUUUCGGAUCGUAAAACUCUGUUGUCAGAGAAGAACGUGUGCGAGAGUAACUGUUCGUGCAGUGACGGUAUCUGGCCAGAAAGCCACGGCUAACUACGUGCCAGCAGCCGCGGUAAUACGUAGGUGGCAAGCGUUGUCCGGAUUUAUUGGGCGUAAAGGGAACGCAGGCGGUCUUUUAAGUCU
rnacentral:rRNA from 1 species